rnacentral:rRNA from 1 species
GACGAACCGUCCAAACGUUAUUCGGAAUUACUGGGCUUAAAGGGUGCGUAGGCGGCGCGGAAAGUUGGGUGUGAAAUCCCUCGGCUCAACCGAGGAACUGCGCCCCAAUACUACCGUGCUUGAGGGAGAUAGAGGUGAGCGGAACUUAGGGUGGAGCGGUGAAAUGCGUUGAUAUCCUAAGGAACACCGGUGGCGAAAGCGGCUCACUGGAUCUCUUCUGACGCUGAGGCACGAAAGCUAGGGUAGCGAA